rnacentral:rRNA from 1 species
CAGCAGCCGCGGGAAUACGUAGGUGGCAAGCGUUGUCCGGAAUUAUUGGGCGUAAAGGGCUCGCAGGCGGUCUCUUAAGUCUGAUGUGAAAGCCCCCGGCUCAACCGGGGAGGGUCAUUGGAAACUGGGAAACUUGAGUGCAGAAGAGGAGAGUGGAAUUCCACGUGUAGCGGUGAAAUGCGUAGAGAUGUGGAGGAACACCAGUGGCGAAGGCGACUCUCUGGUCUGUAACUGACGCUGAGGAGCGAAAGCGUGGGGAGCGAACAGGAUUAGAUACCCGUGUAGUCCCUGUCUCUUAUAA